rnacentral:rRNA from 1 species
UACGAAGGGGGCUAGCGUUGCUCGGAAUCACUGGGCGUAAAGCGCACGUAGGCGGACUCUUAAGUCGGGGGUGAAAUCCUGGAGCUCAACUCCAGAACUGCCUUCGAUACUGGCGAUCUUGAGUCCGGAAGAGGUGAGUGGAAUUCCUAGUGUAGAGGUGGAAUUCGUAGAUAUUAGGAAGAACACCAGUGGCGAAGGCGGCUCACUGGUCCGGUACUGACGCUGAGGUGCGAAAGCGUGGGGAGCA